UGGUUCUGGCAUCGAUGAAGAACGCAGCGAAAUGCGAUAAGUAAUGUGAAUUGCAGAAUUUAGUGAAUCAUCGAAUCUUUGAACGCACAUUGCGCCCCCUGGUAUUCCGGAGGGCAUGUUCGUUUGAGCGUCAUUAAAAACCUUCAAGCCCAGCUUGGCUGUGGACGUCUCGUCCGGGGAGCGGACGCGUCCUAAACCCAUCAAGCGGCGGCGUCGAGCCCCGAGCGUAGUAGAAUCUAGCCGCUCCGGCCGGCCUCGCGCGUCGCCCGCUUACAAUCCAGAAAUUAGCUUUCAUUUCAAGGAUUGACCUCAAAUCGAACAGGAAAACCCGCUGA
rnacentral:misc_RNA from 1 species